UACCAGCACCCCGAGUGGUCGGGACGUUUAUUGGGCCUAAAGCAUCCGUAGCCGGUUCUACAAGUCUUCCGUUAAAUCCACCUGCUCAACAGAUGGGCUGCGGAAGAUACUAUGGAGCUAGGAGGCGGGAGAGGCAAGCGGUACUCGAUGGGUAGGGGUAAAAUCCGUUGAUCCGUUGAAGACCACCAGUGGCGAAGGCGGCUUGCCAGAACGCGCUCGACGGUGAGGGAUGAAAGCGUGGGGAGCGAACAGG
rnacentral:rRNA from 1 species